AGCGAACGUUUGCGGCGGGCCUAACACAUGCAAGUCGAACGCACUAGCAAUAGUGAGUGGCGCACGGGUGCGUAACACGUGGGUACUCAACCCUUCAGCCUGGGAUAACGACUCGAAAGGGUCGCUAAUACCGGAUACGGCGCGAGAGGCUUCGGCUUCUCACGAGAAAGCCACGCAAGGGGGCACUGAAGGACGAGCCUGCGGCCCAUCAGCUAGUUGGUGAGGUAAGAGCUCACCAAGGCUAAGACGGGUAGCUGGUCUGAGAGGAUGAUCAGCCACACUGGAACUGAGACACGGUCCAGACUCCUACGGGAGGCAGCAGUGGGGAAUAUUGCGCAAUGGGCGAAAGCCUGACGCAGCCACGCCGCGUGAGCGAUGAAGGCC
rnacentral:rRNA from 1 species